rnacentral:rRNA from 1 species
GACGAACGCUGGCGGCGUGCUUAACACAUGCAAGUCGAACGGAAAGGCCCUGCUUUUGUGGGGUGCUCGAGUGGCGAACGGGUGAGUAACACGUGAGUAACCUGCCCUUGACUUUGGGAUAACUUCAGGAAACUGGGGCUAAUACCGGAUAGGAGCUCCUGCUGCAUGGUGGGGGUUGGAAAGUUUCGGCGGUUGGGGAUGGACUCGCGGCUUAUCAGCUUGUUGGUGGGGUAGUGGCUUACCAAGGCUUUGACGGGUAGCCGGCCUGAGAGGGUGACCGGCCAAAUGGGGACGGAGAGAGGGCCAGGACUCCAAGGGGGGGCAGCAGGGGGAAAUAUUGAAAAGGGGGGGGAAGCCGAAGGCAACAACCCCGGGGGGGGAAUGCCGGCCUUCGGGUUGAAAACCGCUUUCGCCGGUGACGAAGGGGGGGUGACGGUAAGGGAAAAAGAAGCACCGGCUAACUACGUG